rnacentral:rRNA from 1 species
GAUGAACGCUGGCGGCGUGCUUAACACAUGCAAGUCGAACGGGGAAUUGAAGCUUGCUUUAAUUCUUAGUGGUGGACGGGUGAGUAACGCGUGGGUAACCUGCCCUUAAGUGGGGGACAACAGUUGGAAACGACUGCUAAUACCGCAUAAAGUUGAGAGUCUGCAUGGACUUUUAACCAAAGGAGUAAUCCGCUUUUGGAUGGACCCGCGUCUGAUUAGCUAGUUGGUGAGGUAACGGCUCACCAAGGCGACGAUCAGUAGCCGGCCUGAGAGGGUGAUCGGCCACACUGGGACUGAGACACGGCCCAGACUCCUACGGGAGGCAGCAGUGGGGAAUCUUCCGCAAUGGACGAAAGUCUGACGGAGCAACGCCGCGUGAGGGAUGAAGGCCUUCGGGUUGUAAACCUCUGUCUUCAGGGAAGAAAAAAAUGACGGUACCUGAGGAGGAAGCCCCGGCUAACUACGUGCCAGCAGCCGCAGUAAUAC